rnacentral:misc_RNA from 1 species
CUGCCCUCAAGCGCGGCUUGUGUGUUGGGCCCCGUCCCCCCUCCCGGGGGACGGGCCCGAAAGGCAGCGGCGGCACCGCGUCCGGUCCUCGAGCGUAUGGGGCUCUGUCACCCGCUCCGUAGGCCCGGCCGGCGCCUGCCGACCACCGAUCAAUCUUUUUUCCA